CGAGGAUCACUCAUGAGAAGGAGCGCUUGUUUUGCUGACCAGAGACACCUUACCUCUGUGCUCAUUUUGUGAAACUGCAGAGUCGCGAGGAUCACUCAUGAGAAGGAGCGCUUGUUUUGCUGACCAGAGACACCUUACCUCUGUGCUCAUUUUGUGAAACUGCAGAUGCAGAUGGAGAAUUAAAGACAACUGAUGCCACAGCCUGAGCAGCUUCUCGUGAUUUAUUUCUACACUCAGAGAGGACACCAGAUACACAUAGGUCACAUUGGUGCCGUGACUCGUCCUCGACAACAUCGGACCGGGCUGGUGUCUUCUCAUCGCAGCAUCGUUUGGAGCAUCUCU